UACGGAGGGUGCAAGCGUUAUCCGGAUUCACUGGGUUAAAGGGAGCGUAGGUGGCUUUGUAAGUCAGUGGUGAAAUCUUAGAGCUUAACUCUAAACUGCCAUUGAUACUGCUUAGCUUGAAUCACGUCGAGGUGGAUGGAAUAUUACAUGUAGCGUGAAAUGCUUAGAUAUGUAAUAGAACACCGAUUGCGAAGGCAGUUCACUAGGCGUGUAUUUGACACUGAAGGCUGGAAA
rnacentral:rRNA from 1 species